GAUCUCGGCUCACUGCAACCUCUGCCUCCUGGGUUCAAGCGAUUCUCCUGCCUUAGCCGUGAUGUUCAGUUUCUAAUACUAAUCACCUAUUUUACCGUCUUUUACAACUUCGUUGUAGGAGGUGUGAAAGAGGAGGGAAAUUGUGUUGGAAGAGGAGAUUAGGACAUCAAGAGACACCAAGAGUAACCAUGUACAG